AUUGAACGCUGGCGGCAGGCCUAACACAUGCAAGUCGAGCGGUAGAGAGGAGCUUGCUUCUCUUGAGAGCGGCGGACGGGUGAGUAAUGCCUAGGAAUCUGCCUGAUAGUGGGGGAUAACGUCCGGAAACGGACGCUAAUACCGCAUACGUCCUACGGGAGAAAGUGGGGGCUCUUCGGACCUCACGCUACCAGAUGAGCCUAGGUCGGAUUAGCUAGUUGGUGGGGUAAAGGCUCACCAAGGCGACGAUCCGUAACUGGUCUGAGAGGAUGAUCAGUCACACUGGAACUGAGACACGGUCCAGACUCCUACGGGAGGCAGCAGUGGGGAAUAUUGGACAAUGGGCGAAAGCCUGAUCCAGCCAUGCCGCGUGUGUGAAGAAGGUCUUCGGAUUGUAAAGCACUUUAAGUUGGGAGGAAGGGUCGUUACCUAAUACGUGACGAUUUUGACGUUACCGACAGAAUAAGCACCGGCUAACUCUGUGCCAGCCGCCGCCGUAA
rnacentral:rRNA from 1 species